ensembl:lncRNA
CUGCGAAGCGCUCCGUACCGGAAUGGGAAUCCGGGGCAUCAGUCAUUCUGCCAGCAUGUUUACCUAAUACAGCUAAGUGACUGAGGGUUAAAGGCAGUGGUCUAGAUGCUACGUAAAAAUCUGGCAAUGCUGAAGGCGGAAGCUAGUAAAAUCUGGCAACACUGAAGGCGUGAACUAAAUGCAGUUAAUUUGUAUAAUCUGAAUGAUGUAUCUGGAAAAUGAACUUAAACUGGUGCUUAACCCAGCACUGAAUACGUGUUCGUCACCGACUCUGAAUCGGGCCCUGUAAUUUGUAUUUCGUUGAGGUCAGUACAUCAGGCUGGUCGUCUGAGAUCAUUUAACUUUGCACUGUACGCGUGUAUUUUUUUCUAUUUUAGGUUCUGAUUUCAAGCGGAGCUUUUAAAGUUUAUAAAAUGGUUCAUAAAGAUAGCAUUUUAGGGGAAGAACUCAUUUCAGUGUGUCGAAUUGUUAAAAAAUAAAAUAAAAGAAAUAAAUACUACAGCAGCGUUGCUGCACUAUUUCAAGGAAAACAGAUUUCAAAAUCUGAUUAGAUUAAAAAGUCUAAUUAGAAAUCUCAGUUAAACGCUAUUGCUUCGUUAAUCCUAAAAGCAUACGAGGACCCAAUAUGCAAAUGUCUUCUGUUAUUACACUGAAUCAUCAAGAGACGUGGGUGAAUAAGCAUAGGCUUGAGAGCAUUUCCUAUUUGCAUAUUCAUAAAAUCUGAAUUUCUUAAUGAGUAUUCAUUUCACAGAAUAUAUUUGUGAAACCACCACAUCAGUCAAUAUUUAACAUAGAAAAAUAUGUUCCAUCUAACUAUAAUACAGUCUGAUAGAUUUUCUCUUUUUUCUCAGCAUCAAAAUGGCUUGCUUUUCUCCUACAGACAGCUCUCUGGUCUUCAUGUUGGCUUAUCCUUUUUAACAACAAAUGCAGUCUUCACAUGCAAAAGGUUUAACAUAUCUAGAUGUAAAAAUCAGGAAAUAAACACUGAAUUUCUGUUCUAUCGUCUCACUCAUCCUUUGAUCUCGAACACAAAUGUGUUCAAUGUAUAGCAAAAAAUAAAUUAAUAGAACUGGCCUGGCUGUUCCAAUACUUUCGGAGGAGACUGUAGAAGGAUACAGCACACACCGGGGAAUCUGAUCACAUGACACUCGUUUAAAUUUAUUAAGGAGAUUAUUAUCGAAAAUUAGUCUGAUUUACUUCUUACCCAAAUUUCAAAUGAUUUCUUCCAAACAGGAAGAGUAGACUGUCCAAACUGUAAGGAAAGUUCUAACGAGCAUCAAGACAACCAUCGUUAAAUAAGAUGAUACCAUUGAUUUUCUGCAAAAAGACAUAAUUAGUACAUUCUAGAAACAUAUCAGAUUAGUGUUACUGAUUAAAGUUUAAAGUGAACAGAAAAUGAGCUUUGACUCAGAUCCAUGUUCUGAUUAAAGAAUAAAGCAGGUCCUUCUAACCACGUGCCUGAGACCCCGGGGAUGAAAUCCCAGAUUUGGAAAGGUUUUGGAGUGUGUCCGCUAUCUCGCUCCCACACACACACACAGGUUUGCUCACUGGCAUCCGAGCUUCUGCAAAGGGCCAAACCAAUUAGCUCAAUUACAGCAAAACAAGCCGCUUCUCUGCUCUCUGCUUUCGAAAAUGUUCAGGUAUCUCAUUGUUGAUGAUUUAUCCCUCACUCUGCCUACGGAAAACUGUCAUUUAUUUUUAUCAUCAUCAUCCUCCUCCUCCUCUCCUCACAGCUGUGAUCGUCAUGGUGAUGAGAGGGAUUGUCUUAGGUGGUUUUCACACUGGGCAUGUCCGCUGAGGUCCGAAUCCACCUGUCUGGUUUCAGACUCACUUGAUUCUAUCGAACCCCGGGGCAUUCGCAUUCAUCUUACAUCAUCACAAACGCGCAUGGAGAACACAAUACGACUCACCACAUACAUAUAUAUUAUUUUGGUGCUAUUAAGCUACGUUCCCCUGCCCAAUAUACACGUGCCAUGAAAACUACUGAUGUCGUCAUCGGCGAAGACACAUACGCAGGUUAAUUUACUUCCUGAACAAGUGCGGACAGGAGUACGAGUUGCGUUCACAUUCACGGGAAUCGCAUGCAACCGAACCAUCUCCUACAGGCGGUCUCGGGUUCGGUACCGCACGACAGCUUCCACGUUAACGAUUUUUCAUGUCC